ACAAAAGGAGGACAUUUUUGGGAAGUGAGGACGUUUUCCCAUUCCUCACUUUUUUUGCAGUUCUACUGUGCUUUACUAGUUAGGUUUAGAGGUAUGUUGUGAAUUAAGUUUUGGUUCAGGUUAGUGUUAGUAAUAAACUAGAAAUGGAUAGGAUUCAGAGAAUCUCUGGGUUUGGCAUAAAUGCAGUCACAAAAAUGAAUGGAAGUCAAUGCUAAGUCUGCAGUUUGAUAGGAAUGUCCAGCUCAGCAGUCCUCCUAUCCAGCCCACUAAUAAGAUCAGCUCUCCCAGAUGCUGUGUGACAGACGCUUCGACUCCCCAGUGUGAGCAGAACCAACCGGCCUGAGGUGAAACCAUGAUAGAGGUGUGCAGCUGCAAGCACAAUGUUAAACAGGCUUCAAAGAGGAGUACAGAGGUUCCAGGAGUACAGGAGAAGAGGGACAGUGGGUCAGGCAGGUAAGUAGAAAGGGUUG